UGCGAAGGAGUAGGGGAUAUACCAAUUGUUCUUCAUUGUCGGCUCAGGGAGAAAAUGAUUUGCAACUUUGCAUCACUAACUACUUUAAGAAAAACAAGAUGAGUCGACCAAAAGGGAAGUAUCCAAAGCGUAACAAUUUCACUUCAGAACAUGAAAUUGUCUUUGCCGAACAUCUCCUGAGUAUGCAUAGGAAUGGAGAGAUAUCAUCUCAUAACAUCGGGAGUCAUGUCAUCCCCGAGAUUACUCGGAUGCUAAAUGAGAGGUUCGGUACUUCAUUUCCGACAAACACUAUUCGGGGGAAGUACUAUGCCCUUUAGAGCCUGACUAGGCUCUAUAUUUCAUUCAAGAAGCGGGACACUGGAAUGGGUUGGGACUCAACCAACUACACCUUCAUGAUGGGCGAUGAACGGUGGAGCCAGCUAGUUCAGUUUUCAUCGAUCAAGGGGCGACUGGCGCUUUCACAGCCUCCUAUGGAUUAUCACCCCUAAACUCUGCCCACGAGCUGGAAAUGGAGAACGCUGCUAGACAGACUCGGGGAAAGGGGGUUGCAGACAUCAAUUCAUCCGAGGAAGAAGUUCCCUUGGAGCCAAAGACUCGGAAAGGGAAAGAGAAAGUGAAGAAGGGCAAAGGAAAGUGCAAAUCAGGUGACAUGUCGACUGAUACCUUCUUCUCACCUUCCUCCCCUCAAUUCCAGUAGUACGUCCGCGUCCUAGACAGCAUUGAGACACAUUUGAACUGUAAAAAGAGCUCUAGCCUUAGUGGUUCAGUCUCUUCACCUUCGAAGAGUAAAAAUCCUCCCAUGGAUGCCGAUAAGGAGCUAGAAGUUGCAAUGGUUCCCCUCUGCUCUGUUCAUCUAGACAUAAACGUGCACUUGCAGACGGCUGAGCUCCUCCGGUCGAAAGAGGAGCGUAUCAUUUGGUUCUUCUUCACUACAGACGCUGACCGUCUUGCUUUUGUGAGAUAUCGAGGGUUCCUCCCCCCCUAUAGAUGCUCAUAGCAUCCCCGUAUUUUUCAUCUUGGUAGCUUAUUUUUUAUCUUUGUGUCCCCGAACGUUGAGUUAUUAUUGAACUUUUAGUAUUGAGAGACGCAGUUUGAUUUUGGAAAU